UGUGAUUUGUUAAUUUGUUUUUAUUGUUGAUUCUAUGGAAAUUCAAUCUGUAAUUGAUAUUGAAUUAUAGGUUUCAUUUUGCUAAUCGUCAGGAAAUUAUUGGAUACAAGAGUGUGUCUGUGUGUAUACCAAUCGGUUUGCCUUCUAUGCAGAGAUAGUGCAUGGAACUUGAAAGGAUACUAGCUUCAUAUUGUACAUGUUAACAUUACAAUAUCACUGUUUAGUGAAACUUUCUUAUUUGAGGUCCUAUUUAUUUCUCUUAACCUGUUUCUUAUCGUAGGUUGUAGGCAAGAGACGUAAAAAUUUGGAUUUCAAUCAUGUGGUUGUAGGCAAGAGACUCAAUCACCUGCAAUGUGAAUUUCAUUGAUUUGUAUUCUUCCCAUAAAGCAAAUGCUCAGGUUUGAUGUUUUGGAAAAGAUUAGGCCUCGGGAAAGGAAAAUCUGCUAGGAUUCCAAGCUAUCAGAUUGGGGGUCUUCCCGCACAUGCCCUUGUUUUUCUGUUCUGCUAAUAGAGUAUCUUCAGAGCAAUAAUUGUCACAAUUGUCAUGCAGCCACUUUACCGCUGAAGUUGAUGUAGAAUUCAACGUUGUCCUGUUUGUUCCUCCUACGGCUACUCAUGAUCUAUAUGAAAUUGGAAUAUGAGUGUAAUGUAUUUCAGUUCCUGCUUUAAGAUUGUUAUUCUGCCUAGUUAAAGAGAAAAGAAUCUAACUUUUUGCUCCUCAUUUUGCCUAUUGUGAAAUGGUUGUCUAGACAAAUUAUGUCAUUCAAUGUUGUUGUGGUGGUUAGCUACAUUUUCUCUAG